UAAGACAAUAUAUAAGCAUGAACUUGUAAGCCUUUUAAAUAACCUUUGAAACUAGAGGGACCAAAAGGGGGCAAAGAUGAAAGAUUGUUUUUGAUUAAAAUAAAUAAACACCAAAACACACACUUGAGUGUGUGUUUGGUCGUACAUCAUCAGGAGCACAAGAAGGGUUCCUUCAAAACCCUAAAACCCACAAAUUCAACAAAAUCAAAGGGAAAUAGAGCUAGAGAAUUGGGGCUUUAACUAAAUUCGUGAUCACCUCAGUAAAGGGAUCAUAAGACAAAGGAAUCGAGUCUUUAAGCGGACAAACCGGAGUGGACACGCGCUUGAAGGGAAUGCUUUAAAGGAUACUCGCAUCCGAAGAUGGCGAGGGUGUAACAAGUGACGGAUAGGAUAGAAGAACGGUCCGAAGUAUGACAAGUGGAGCAUGCUCAUUAAGGACCAAGUUGCGUAACAAUCGUGAAUAGGAAUAAUGGCAAGGAACGCCCGUCGGGGCAAGCAUUACAGACAAAGGAAUCGAGUCUUUAAGCGGACAAACCGGAGUGGACACGCGCUUGAAGGGAAUGCUUUAAAGGAUACUCGCAUCCGAAGAUGGCGAGGGUGUAACAAGUGACGGAUAGGAUAGAAGAACGGUCCGAAGUAUGACAAGUGGAGCAUGCUCAUUAAGGACCAAGUUGCGUAACAAUCGUGAAUAGGAAUAAUGGCAAGGAACGCCCGUCGGGGCAAGCAUUACAGACAAAGGAAUCGAGUCUUUAAGCGGACAAACCGGAGUGGACACGCGCUUGAAGGGAAUGCUUUAAAGGUGAAUGUCGAGAGUCCCGGAUGAAGAUCAAGCAUCGAGCAAGAACCGAACACACGUUAAACAAAGCUUCCGCAAUGUUGUUUCGUCGUUAUUCAAUAACGGCGAAUUAAAAUCACAUUAUGUUGUAUCACUUUAAAUUGUAAAAGUUUUUAACAAACCCGUAUUUUCAGUAUAAUUGUGACUAUAAUUACA